AUUGAACGCUGGCGGCAGGCUUAACACAUGCAAGUCGAGCGGAGAGAGGUAGCUUGCUACUGAUCUUAGCGGCGGACGGGUGAGUAAUGCUUAGGAAUCUGCCUAUUAGUGGGGGACAACAUUUCGAAAGGAAUGCUAAUACCGCAUACGUCCUACGGGAGAAAGCAGGGGAUCUUCGGACCUUGCGCUAAUAGAUGAGCCUAAGUCGGAUUAGCUAGUUGGUGGGGUAAAGGCCUACCAAGGCGACGAUCUGUAGCGGGUCUGAGAGGAUGAUCCGCCACACUGGGACUGAAACACGGCCCAGACUCCUAAGGGAGGCAGCAGUGGGGAAUAUUGGCCAAUGGGCGCAAGCCUGAUCCAGCCAUGCCGCGUGUGUGAAGAAGGCCUUAUGGUUGUAAAGCACUUUAAGCGAGGAGGAGGCUACUUUAGUUAAUACCUAGAGAUAGUGGACGUUACUCGCAGAAUAAGCACCGGCUAACUCUGUGCCAGCCGCCGCAGUAAAAC
rnacentral:rRNA from 1 species